rnacentral:rRNA from 1 species
UACGUAGGGUGCAAGCGUUGUCCGGAUUUAUUGGGUUUAAAGGGUGCGUAGGCGGCUUAUUAAGUCAGCGGUGAAAGACCGGAGCUCAACUCCGGGUAUGCCAUUGAUACUGAUAAGCUUGAGUACAGUUGAGGUAGGCGGAAUUGACGGUGUAGCGGUGAAAUGCUUAGAUAUCGUCAAGAACACCGAUUGCGUAGGCAGCUUACUAAGCUGAAACUGACGCUGAUGCACGAAAGUGUGGGGAUCAAACAGG